ACACAUAUGGCACAAAAUAUUCCAGUUCACAUUGAUCUCCCCCCAAUCUUUGUUGGAUGAUACUGGGAAAACAUGUUAUAUGUCAGCAUUGGUGACAUUGAUCAGCAACCAUCAGUUACAGUGUGAUGUAAAUCAAACAACUCUACUAUGACACAGAAUGCAUAUAGCUUUCGGAAAUGAGAUAAAUGCCUUGUAAUUUAUCUUCAAAAUGCUUGUUUAUGAUUCUUUACAAUUGGCACUGUGUCAGUCACCAAAAGGGUAGUGAGGACAUAACUGCAAGACUUUUGAAAUUUUUAUUUCCUAUUCUAACUGGGACAAGUUUUAUUUAGAAAGGAUGGGUAAUAACAUAAUUUUGGGCAAGGACUGAGAAAUUGAGAAGCAAAAAGGAAAAAUGACUUAUUUAACAUAGAAAAAGAUAAUAAAGUUGGAAUACUGGAAAUAACUAAGGACUGAGGUAAUGGAGGGUAGACAAAUCCAGGCUGACUUGGUUUGUAAAGGUUUGUAAAGAUGAUGCCUUUUCCUUUUCUUUUGAGUAGAUGGUUAAU
rnacentral:lncRNA from 1 species